CACGUAUUCAGCUUUAGUAGAUGCUGCCAGUUUUCUGAAGUCGUACUGAUUUGCACACCUGCUAACAGUGUAUGAGGUCUCUCUAGCUGCUCCAGAUCCUCACUGACACUUAGUUGUUUAACCUAACCAUUCUGGUCUGGUUCCCACAGCUGUGGCCUGCUUAAUACACAUCCUGUGAAGAAAAAACGAUGCAAGUAUUCUGCGGGGGAGGCAGUUCCAAGAACUCGCAGACCCACCGAACGUCUCCCCCGCCUGCUCACGUGUGCCAGCCUCUGCCCCCACCCUGCCACAACCACUCCUCCUGCCUCUCUUUGCCCAACAAGCCCACACCUGCAGCACACACGCAGCACCCGCCCGGUACACACACAUCCCCCUGUGAGACCAGGCAAUCCCCUGCAGGAGCUGUGGGAAACAGGCAGGAACAGCCAGUGUGGUUAAUGAGGUGGGUUCAAAGGCAGGGGCGCCCUCCUCACCACCCCCAAUAAUGACAUCUAAGAAUCACAGGCCUUGAACUUCAAGGCAGGCAAGGUGGGAGCAGAUGAGGCUUGUGUGGAAGGGAGAGAGCUAAAAUGCACUUCAAGUCCCUAGCCAUGCAAACACUCUUCCAAACAUCGCUUUAGGCCCCACCCUACCCCCAGCUCUGGAGACCGCUGUUCCAGCAAACAUCUUAGGAACAUGGCAAUCCUGAACUAUUGCAUAAAAGCAGGGUCCUUGUCCAGUAACUUUUUUAGGUUAGGGUAUUUUUAGGUUGGGCUUCCCUGUUGGCUCAGAUGGUAAAGAAUCUGCCUGCAAUGCAGGAGACCUGGGUUUGAUCCCCAGGUCAGGAGGAUCUCCUGGAGAAGGGAAUGGCAACCCACUCCAGUAUUCUUGAUGGGAGAAUCCCAUGGACAGAAGAGACAGAACAUUCAUGAGAAAAAAAUCGGCAUUUCUCAGGCAUUUUUUUCUUUUCAAGAACCCUCACAACUGACAGGGUAAAGCAUCACAACCCAAACGACACUUUCUUUUUUCCAAGGCGUGAAAGACUCCAAAGGGGGCGUUUCUGCUGCAGGGUCAACAUGUUGUUAUAAACCUUAGGAUCAAGUGCUUGAUUGAUUGAUCGAUUGAUUGAUAGAAGCAUAGUUAAUUUACAAUGAUGUGUUAGUUUCAAGAAUACAACAAAGUGAUUCCAGUAUAUAUUAAUAUAUAUUCUUUUUCAGAUUCUUUUCCAUUAUUGGUUAUUACAAAAUACUGAAUACAGUUCCCUGCGCUAUACAAUUGAGUACUUAAAAUUGGGAAAACAAUUAAAAAGAGGCCUACCCUGCUGUGUUGGGUAUUCCAGGUAAUAGAGACUGCCUUCUGACAGCCUACAAAUCAGAAGACUGAGCUCCUUUGUGCAAGAAGUUUGCAUCAGACACAAAGAUUUAUAGUGAGCGGCCACCAGAUGGUGCCUUAGUUCCCUUCCAGCUCACACUCUGGCUUCUUUGUUCCCUGAUGAGAGCUGACAUUUCAUGGGAAGAGCAGUCCAAAGGAGCCACAGGACGAUUUUAUUGGUUCAGCCUGACGAGACUCCCAGCUUGUAAAUGCGGGAGCUGCAGUCAGUGACUGAGCGAAGUGGAC
ensembl:lncRNA